rnacentral:rRNA from 1 species
CCUGGCUUAGGAUGAACGCUGGCGGCGUGCCUAAUACAUGCAAGUCGAACGGUCUUUCUAUGGAAGCUUGCUUCCACUGAGAAGAUAGUGGCGAACGGGUGAGUAACACGUGGGUAACCUGCCCAUAAGAGGGGGAUAACAUCCGGAAACGGGUGCUAAUACCGCAUAGUUUUCUUGAUCGCAUGAUCGGGAAAGGAAAGACGGCCUUUGUGCUGUCGCUUAUGGAUGGACCCGCGGCGUAUUAGUUAGUUGGUGAGGUAACGGCUCACCAAGACGAUGAUACGUAGCCGACCUGAGAGGUGAUCGGCCACAUUGGGACUGAGACACGGCCCAAACUCCUACGGGAGGCAGCAGUAGGGAAUCUUCCGCAAUGGACGAAAGUCUGACGGAGCAACGCCGCGUGAGUGAAGAAAGGUUUUCGGAUCGUAAAACUCUGUUGUCAGAGAAGAACAAGUUGGAGAGUAACUGCUCCAGCCUUGACGGUAUCUGACCAGAAAGCCACGGCUAACUACGUGCCAGCAGCCGC